GAGUGGAUGCCGAUUUGCCAUAUCCUUCAUACUGAUAUUAAUUAUUUUAUUACAUGAUUUCUUGUUUGACUAUUAAUCAAGUUAUAGCAAGAGUGAAAUGUGUAACCUUAUGUGUGCUGUAUUUCUUUUCCUCAAGAUUAAUGUCCACAUAUUAUGUGUGUGUAUCCAAUCACACUUGCCAGUGCUAGAAAGCCUUGAAUUUUAGAUAAGUUCUCUGUGUAUGUGUGUUAGUAUCUGUCUGUACAGGGAGAAGCUCAGACAGUCCCAGGACAAACGAUCAACUGCCAGUGUCCAGCAUAUCAGAUAUACGUCUUUGGAGAGUUUUAUCUAGGUUUUGGAACCAAUCAGAAUUUUGUUGACUCAUGUAUUGACGCAAUUAGUAUCCUCUGUCAGGGUAUAACUGUGGUUGAUUUUGUAUUGUACUGGGGGCGGCCUGCGAACUCCUUCGAGAGUGUUGAAGCUGACUUCUGCUGAUGAAAUUGCAAACUAUUUUCUUCAAGUAAAAUUAUUAUUAUUAAUUGAACUCA